UACCAGCACCCCGAGUGGUCGGGACGAUUAUUGGGCCUAAAGCAUCCGUAGCCGGUCCUACAAGUCUUCCGUUAAAUCCACCUGCUUAACAGAUGGGCUGCGGAAGAUACUAUAGGGCUAGGAGGCGGGAGAGGCAAGCGGUACUCAGUGGGUAGGGGUAAAAUCCUGUAAUCCUGCGGGGAGGACCAGUGGCGAAGGCGCUACACUAGAACGGCUCUGACAGUGAGGGACGAAGCCCUGGGGCGCAAACCGG
rnacentral:rRNA from 1 species